GGGGAUGUAGCUCAAUGGUAGAGCUCUUGCCUUGCAGGCAGGAGGCAGUAAGUUUAAUAUCCAUCACUG
rnacentral:tRNA from 1 species